rnacentral:tRNA from 1 species
GUAGGUUAGGUUAGUGGUUAGAGGUUAUGGCUUGUGACCGCGAGGUCCUGGGUUCGAAUCCCGCCAUCUCA